AGAUUGAACGCUGGUCGGCAUGCUUUACACAUGCAAGUCGAACGGCAGCACGGGGGCAACCCUGGUGGCGAGUGGCGAACGGGUAGAGUAAUGUCAUCGGGACGUAAUCCUUGAGUAGGGGGAUAACGUCAGCGAAAGUUGUUGCUAAAUACCGCAUAAGCGUCUGAGGAGGAAAGCGGGGGACCGAAAGGCCUCGCGCUGAAGGAGCGGCCGAUGUCCGAUUAGCUAGUUGGUUGAGGUAAAGGCCUACCAAGGCUACGACGGGUACGCUGGUCUGAGAGGGACGACCAGCCACACUGGCACUGAGAUACGGGCCAGACUCCUACGGGGAGGCAGC
rnacentral:rRNA from 1 species